CGGGAUGUAGUUCAGAUGGUUAGAAUACACGGCUGGGGGUCGUGUGGUCGUGAGUUCGAGUCUCACUAUCCCGA
rnacentral:tRNA from 1 species